GUUUCGGGCUCUCCGAAGGCCUGACUCCGCGGCCCGACAGCCCAGCCAGGCAGUCCUGCGUAGCUCAGAGUCCCCCCUUUUCCCUCAUUGGGCUUUCUCCACUCAGGGUUUCUCUGGAGGGUUUUUAGGGCCCCCCAGAGACUCUGCCCUGUGGCCCAGCUUCCUCCCAGAAGGGCUGUAUUUUGGUGGACAAGGCUAGCUCUUAUCUAAGUGACCAGCCCUGGGAUCCUCUCCUCCGGGACACGGGCCUGCGCAUCCAUACGCGCUUGCACUUCCCACCCCGACUGGUCCCCCUGCACAUCUGCCCAAACCCAGGCUCACCCCCAAGCCCAGGCUUUCCGACCACCUGGACUACUGAUUUCUCCUCCCAUCAGGUCUGGCCUCCAGCUAUACGCGAAGAUGCUCUAUACCUGCCAUAGCAGAUGAAAAGACAAGCACACAGACGAAGAGGAGAAAAGAGCCUCACUUGGCAGAGGGGACAGAAAGGGAAAGUAAGAAUGCUGGUGUCGGAGGAGCCUGGGUAUUUCCUAGACCAGUGGUCCUUAAACUUCUGUGGACCACCAAGCAGGAAGGCGAGAAAGCAGUGACCACUCGCCCCCACUUCUAUUCUGUCAAGGUCACAGGCUUCUCCUCUCCUCCUGGGGCCCGUGCUAGUCAUCUCCUAUCAGUGUUUCGAGAACAGUCUUCUGAGCUUUCUACAGCUCUGUGAAAGCGGUUGGUUGGGGACCCAUCACAUGUGGGGUCAGGGAGAUGCUCAGAAACUCUUGUUGUCUGUCUGAGGUCAGGUAGGCACUUGAGAGAACCUGGGGGAAAUCAAGGACUUACCCACUGUCACCAUGGGGACCUGCCUUUUGCAAAUGUAACUGGUUUAUUAAAUGAGCUGGACCGGG